UACGGAGGGGGCGAGCGUUGUCCGAAGUUACUGGGCGUAAAGCGCGCGUAGGCGGGUUGGUAAGUUCGCUGUGAAAGCCCGGAGCUCAACUCCGGAGGGUCGGUGGAUACUGCCAGUCUUGAAGGUGCUAGGGGGAGAUGGAAUUACCGGUGUAGCGGUGAAAUGCGUAGAUAUCGGGAGGAACACCUGUGGCGAAAGCGGCUCACUGGACCACAACUGACGCUGAGGCGCGAAAGCUAGGGGAGCAAACAGG
rnacentral:rRNA from 1 species